CCUACGGGAGGCAGCAGUAGGGAAUCUUGCGCAAUGGGCGAAACCCUGAUGCAGCAACGCCGCGUGAGUGAUGAAGUACCUCGGUAUGUAAAACUCUGUCAGCAGGGAAGAAAAUAACGGUACCUAACUAUGAAGCCCCUGCUAACUCCGUGCCAGCAGCCGCGGUAAUACUUAGGGGGCAAGCGUUAGCCGGAUUGAGUGGGGGUAAAGGGAGCGUAGACGGUGCUGCAAGUCCGGAGUGAAAGCCCAUGGCUCAACCAUGGUACUGCUCUGGAAACUGUGGAGCUUGAGUGCGGUAGAGGAAGGUGGAAUUCCGAGUGUAGCGGUGAAAUGCGUAGAGAUAAGGAGGAACACCGGCGGCGAAGGCGGCCUGCUGGACUGUAACUGACGCUGAGGUUCGAAAGCGUGGGGAGCAAACAGGAUUAGAUACCCCUGUAGUC
rnacentral:rRNA from 1 species